UUUGUAACUUACUUUCAACUUACAUUUUUCGGUGAAAAUUUGUAGACUUUUAGGUUGAGUGAUUAAUUUAGAGUUCAACUUGCAAAAUGGCUCAUAAUCAUGAUGAGAAAGAUACCGUGACAAUAAAAAUGAAGAUAUUGGGUGAUGCCACUUAUGAUAUUGUAAUUGAUUGGCUUGAUGACGAUUGUCACCCUGAUGUUCAAGUAAAGAGACAGUUGGCAUCAAUCACAAAAAUACCAUUUGAAUGCAUAAAACCGGUCUUUUUCGUGCCUGAUGAAACAUAUUGGGGUCGCCCCGGU